rfam:Schistosoma rodhaini strain Burundi genome assembly, scaffold: SROB_scaffold0000210
GCACUGCUGAGGAGUCCCAUAAUAGUAGGAAACGGCCGUCCAGUGC